rnacentral:rRNA from 1 species
AAUGGCUGCAGUAAUUUGACUGUACAAAGGUAGCAUAAUCAUUAGUUUUUUAAUUAAAAGCUUGUAUGAAAGGUUGGACGAAAUAAAAUCUGUCUCUUUUUAAUAAAAAUUAGAAUUUAAUAUUUAAGUUAAAAAGCUUAAAUUUUUAUAAAAGACGAGAAGACCCUAUAGAGUUUUAUAUUUUUAAUUUAAUAAUUAAUUUAGAUUUAUUAAUUUUAUUUAAUUAAAAUUAUUUUAUUGGGGUAAUAGAAAGAUUAAAAAAAUUCUUUUUUUAAUAAAUCAUUAAUAUAUGAAAAUUUAUGAUCCAUAAAAUUUUGAAUAUAAGAUUAAAUUACCUUAGGGAUAACAGCGUAAUUUUUUUUUAGAGUUCUUAUCGAUAAAAAAGUUUGCGACCUCGAUGUUGGAUUAAAGAUUAGUUUAGGUGUAGAAGUUUAAAUUUUUGGUCUGUUCGACCAUUAAAUCUUUACAUGAUCUGAGUUCAAACCGGUGUAAGCCAGGUUGGUUUCUAUCUUUAUUAUAUUUUUAUAUUUUAGUACGAAAGGACCAAAUAUAAUGUAUAUGAAUACUUAUUUUAAUGAAUAU